ACGAACGCUGGCGGCGUGCCUAAUACCUGCCAGUCGAGCGAAGUUUUUCUGGUGCUUGCACUAGAAAAACUUAGCGGCGAACGGGUGAGUAACACGUAAAGAACCUGCCUCAUAGACUGGGACAACUAUUGGAAACGAUAGCUAAUACCGGAUAACAGCAUUAACUGCAUGGUUGAUGUUUAAAAGUUGGUUUUGCUAACACUAUGAGAUGGCUUUGCGGUGCAUUAGCUAGUUGGUGGGGUAAAGGCCUACCAAGGCGACGAUGCAUAGCCGACCUGAGAGGGUGAUCGGCCACACUGGGACUGAGACACGGCCCAGACUCCUACGGGAGGCAGCAGUAGGGAAUCUUCCGCAAUGGGCGAAAGCCUGACGGAGCAACGCCGCGUGAGUGAAGAAGGAUUUCGGUUCGUAGCUCUGUUGUUAGGGAAGAAUGAUUGUGUAGUAACUAUACACAGUAGAGACGGUACCUAACCAGAAAGCCACGGCUAACUACGUG
rnacentral:rRNA from 1 species